UGUGUCUUCAACAAAUCAGAGCUCUAAUACUCCCUUCAUCCGAUCAGACUCGGAAGUAGAGGGCAUGUUUGGGGGGACAUUUUCUCUUUGGAGCCAAAGAUAUGGGCCAAUGGCUAGAUAUGGACUGAUGGAUACGGUAGUAUGAUCUGAUCUCAACUUUAGCUUGUGAUGAUCUUCGAAUCCUAGCAACUAUUCUGAGCAGAACUCCUA
rnacentral:lncRNA from 1 species